AAGCUUGUAGUUGAAUUUCGAACCUGGCUGGGUGGUCUGCCUUCACGGUCCGUACUGCCCGGCCGGGUUCUACCUCUUGGUGAGCCGGCAUGCCCUUUACUGGGUGUGUCGGGGAACCAGGACUUUUACCUUGAGAAAAUUAGAGUGUUCAAAGCAGGCCUUCGCCCGAAUACAUUAGCAUGGCAUAAUAAAAUAGGACGUGCGGUUCUAUUUUGUUGGUUUCUAGAGUCGCCGUAAUGAUUAAUGGGAUAGUUGGG
rnacentral:rRNA from 1 species